AACACUGUUAACCUGCGGUACCUGCGGAGGGAUCAUUAACAAGCUGUGGGGAUCACCCUGAAAGGGGCAGAUCUCUCACCUGGCCAUCCUUGUUUAUCCUAACGCUUGUUGCUUUGGUGGGCCCGCUGCAAGGCCGCCGGGGAAUCGAGUUUCCAGGCUUGUUGUCCACCAAGGUUUUAACUAAAUCUUUAAAGAGUUUUUGCUGUCUGAGUGGGGAAAAAGCACAAAUUGAAACAAAAA
rnacentral:misc_RNA from 1 species